rnacentral:lncRNA from 1 species
CUGUCAUGACGUAAGCACCCGUUAAAAAGGGAUGUUUCGAAAUUCAUUCACUAAAAGGGACAAAAUGCUUUUCACGGUCUCUUCCAUUUCUCGAAAUGUGUUUGAAAAAUCUGUACAAGUGUUUGCAAAAUUUCACCCCUAAAGGGGUAGAAGAAAAAGGAGGGAUAAGAGAGAAAAAAGGCGAAGCUGAGAAACUAGAAAAUGUUAAGUAAAACGAAAAAGGACAGACUUUAAAAAGGAGAGAGAAGGAAGAUGAUUCACUAGGAAGAGGAAAAGAAUAUUUCUAAAGUUUCUAAAACAUGUAAAUUUUCUGCAGUCGUUGCCAAAUUUAACGCGUGCAAACUAACUUCAUACGAUGUUGCGUGUCAUCGUUUGAUACGAAGAUGCAGCAACAUGGAAAAUGUUUAUUCUUGAUGCAAGUACACGUACGCUGUUUCGUGUAGUUACACGAUUCUCGCUAGAGAAGUUUCCACUUUUGUUAAUAAUUACGAACGCGUCUAAAUGCAUUCUGUUAAUAAUUCUUUGUCCUUAGGACUGUUUUAAGAACAAUUCGAAAAUCCAACAACAAAUAAAGAUGUUACUAUGUCUAAGAAAUUGGGAAUUUUCCGGUCAACUUGGUAGUUUCUUUUUACAGGACAAAGAGGUAAUUUUUAAGGGUUGAAGAGGUAUUUUCUGCGAGUUUCUAUUGGAGAGUGGUUGCAGAAUUAUUCUGGGGUGAGGUGGAGGAGAAUGGAGCAGACAGAGAUCCCUUAUCGGUCGUGAUGUAUAGCACAGAGAUUGGGCGGGUGCUGGAGAAGAUUUCUUUCGAAAUCAAUGGAGUUCCUAGCUGAACCGUGUGGAUUGUAAAGUACCUCCUUCAGUGGCUUUUUUUUAUACGCGAUAGUAUCAUUGAGUUACACGUCAUGAAUAUAAGAUUUGUUGCGUGUGGUAGAUUUAUGAGUAAUUGUUUUGUAUUGUUCCCAAGUUGAGGAGUUUUGUUCUAUUUCGGGUAAUUUUAUUGUCUAGAGAGACAAUGCUGGAGGAUACUCGAGGAUGAGUCUUUUGUUUCCCUUUAAAAACAGUAUUGCUCAGCUUAUGGAUGGUGAUAAAGUAGAGCACAUACUAGAUCAAAGCGUUUCUUAAUCUUCUCUUAAUUUCAUUACUCAUAAAUAAUUAUCAUUAUUUUGUUCAAUGAUAUAUUGUUAUUUGUGCAUAUUGUUCGUUCAAUUCGUUGUCCUCUUAUCGUACGCUAAAUAUAUGAACUUUUAAUACGUGUAAUAUUUGUAACAACCAUAUACAGUCUAUGUGUUGACAGUCGUUUUAUGGAUGUUCAGAAGAAGGUGAAAUUCAGAGUUUGAACACAGAAGAAGAAUCUUCAUCUAAAACAGAAUAGAUAGAGCGAAUAGAAGGUGGAAACUACAUAUACAAGCAAAAUUCUAUUUAGAUAUAUGAACUUGUACGAAUAGAUAAAACUACAAGCAAAGACGUCUAUUUAAACAAAGUAAGUAGCUCCAGUUUCUGUCCCUUCUAGCCUUAAUCCAAUGAUCCCCCGGGCAAACCUAAUCCUUCCCCUACGAAGAUUACAAACGGAAGCAAAAUCAACAGAAACCAACAGAAGAUACAUUCGAUAGAGUCCAAUUUCUGUCGCAUUGGGUCCCACUUUAAUCAACGUCCAGCGUUCAGAAUCUCAUUGGGCGAAUGUCGAACAUACGACGAGAUAUCCACGCAUCGUUCGAUCAAACAGCACGAGUUACCUUUGCACGGGCAUCCUCCUUUCACGACGAGGCGUUCGAUAAGACGACCAUGGCACACGGUUAACAAGCAGUCCGUUAUCAGCGACGGCUGCAACCGGCUGACGGUGUCACCAGCCGGAAGAUUAUCGUGCACAAAGCCUGACAACGGAAUCAGAUAACUCUGACUGACACGUUUCUCAACGAACGUAUUGUAAGAUUUACCGUACGCAAGACAAAUUAUGGCAGACUGUGGACAUGCCGCACACGCGAUUCUCCGUUUUGUUACUGACAACACUUUUCCCUGUGGACAUGGUUUACAUUCGCGGAAGACCUCCAAACAGAAAAUCCCAACGACCACGAUACGAAUCAGCAAAACAACGAUUAAAAAUUACAAUUCCUUCCGUGUUCCUACAUAAUCACGAUAAGACGAUGUUCACGUUG